rnacentral:lncRNA from 1 species
GCAGAUCCGGAUAUCCGAAAUAUCCACCCACAUAUGUUGCAGACAUUAGCCGCAUCCAUAUCCGCAUUUUUUUUUUUGAAUCCGGAUGUGGAUCCGGAUGUAAAACUAUUAAUCCGUAUCCGGAUCCGGAUGUAGGUGCAUUCGGAUUUGGAUUUUGCCAACCCUACUUGCUAUAGCAAUUUCAACAGUACACUCGAUGUUCUAAAUUAAAUUAAUACAACUAAGACUACCAAAUAACUUAGUAAAAUAAAAUCUCAAUAAAUAAAAAUUGCAAUGAAUAGAGUUGGCACGUUAAACACAAAGCUUAAAUAAAUAGAAAUGGAGUAGUUGUGUGAUUAAACUCUCUUGAUGGUGUUGACUGUUUUAUUCAUGUCAAGUUCAGUUGCUGCAACAUUUACCACAGCACUGGGCAAAAACCAUGUUUAUUCUUAGCGGUAGCAUGUUGGAUGUCUUAUAUCUUAAUGUCACCCUAACAGUGACUAGUUACUAUGGCAACAUUAGAUAUAACAUUACACGUUUAAGUUCUCCUUAUCCUACAAGGUGAAUCCUUAUAUCUAGUUCAUCACUAAUUUUAGAUUAAGCAUGGCCCUUUUAGGACUCAAGUUAAACUCGAUUCAGGAAAUUCAAUUGAAAACCAAGUAUUGAUCUGAUAUGUUCUAUUAGGAUAGACCCUUUUGUGCCUCUUUCCUAGCUUGUACCAUUAAAUAGGUGGUCAGCCAAAAUAAUGACUUUAAAUGAGUACUAUCAAAGUAAAAUGUUAUAGCAAACAGGCAACAACAUCUAUAUUUAGUCAAUUAACCAUCAAGCUAGUUUAACACUCAACCACAAAUAAAUUUAGUUCAUAAUUUGUGAAAGGUCAAUAAUCAACCAAGUUCUAGCCAUCGAAUACAUCUUCAAUGAUCAAUGAGUAGCAAAUAAACAAGAAAAGAAAGAGAAAGAACAGAUUCCAAUCGAUUCUGGAAGUUCUUCUACUGGUGUAGCCUUGAAUUCUGAUUAGGAAUUCUGUAUCUUCGUUGUCUCUUUUUUUGUUUUUGAUCUUGAUUGACGGCCUCUCCUUUUUCUUUUCAUGUAUGCCUCCUUUUAUAGUUAAAAACUAGGGUAAAUAGAAACCUUUAGGGCGCGUGACACAACCUAAAAGUAAUUUUUAACUCCCAAGUAUAAGAGUGUCUUGUUGUAUUAUAAUUCGGUGAGUCCGAGGUCGAUCCAUAGAGAAAAUAUUUAAUUUGUUUAUUUUAUUUUAACUAAAAAUUGAAAUUAAAACUUGAAUAUAAACAACUUAAUUUAAAUGAAACUAUGAAAUUGAACUAGUUAUGGUUGUGGAUCCACUCUUAGUAGUAA